rnacentral:rRNA from 1 species
GCAUAUCAAUAAGCGGAGGAAAAGAAACUAACAAGGAUUCCCCUAGUAGCGGCGAGCGAACCGGGAUCAGCUCAAAUUUGUAAUCUGGCGUCCUCCGGGCGUCCGAGUUGUAAUCUAUAGAAGCGUCUUCCGUGCCGGACCGCGUCCAAGUCCCUUGGAACAGGGCGUCAAAGAGGGUGACAAUCCCGUGCUUGAUGCGACGACCGGUGCACUGUGAUACGCUCUCUACGAGUCGAGUUGUUUGGGAAUGCAGCUCAAAGUGGGUGGUAAAUUCCAUCUAAAGCUAAAUAUUGGCGAGAGACCGAUAGCGAACAAGUACCGUGAGGGAAAGAUGAAAAGCACUUUGGAAAGAGAGUUAAACAGUAUGUGAAAUUGUUGAAAGGGA